UACGGAGGGUGCAAGCGUUAUUCGGAAUUACUGGGCGUAAAGCGCACGUAGGCGGCUUGGUAAGUCAGGGGUGAAAUCCCACAGCUCAACUGUGGAACUGCCCUUGAAACUGCAAAGCUUGAAUCCUGGAGAGGGUGGCGGAAUUCCUGGUGUAGGAGUGAAAUCCGUAGAUAUCAGGAGGAACACCGGUGGCGAAGGCGGCCACCUGGACAGGUAUUGACGCUGAGGUGCGAAAGUGUGGGGAGCAAACAGG
rnacentral:rRNA from 1 species